rnacentral:rRNA from 1 species
AUACAGAGGGUGCAAGCGUUAAUCGGAUUUACUGGGCGUAAAGGGCGCGUAGGCGGUUAAAUCAGUCAGAUGUGAAAGCCCCGGGCUUAACCUGGGAAUGGCAUUUGAUACUGUUUAGCUAGAGUUUGGUAGAGGGGAGUGGAAUUUCCGGUGUAGCGGUGAAAUGCGUAGAGAUCGGAAGGAACAUCAGUGGCGAAGGCGGCUCUCUGGACCAAAACUGACGCUGAGGUGCGAAAGCGUGGGUAGCAAACAGGAUUAGAUACCCGUGUAGUCC